rnacentral:rRNA from 1 species
UUCCGGNUGAUCCUGCCGGAGGUUACUGCUUUCGAGGUUCGACUAUGCCAUGCGAGUCGAAUGCCGCAAGGCAUGGCGUACUGCUCAGUAACACGUGGACAACCUACCCUUAGGACUGGGAUAACCCCGGGAAACUGGGAAUAAUCCCCGAUAGUCCUCGAAGGCUGGAAUGCAUCGAGGGCGAAAGCUCCGGCGCCUAAGGAUGGGUCUGCGGCCUAUCAGGUAGUAGUGGGUGUAGCGUACCUACUAGCCUACGACGGGUACGGGUUGUGAGAGCAAGAGCCCGGAGAUGGAUUCUGAGACACGAAUCCAGGCCCUACGGGGUGCAGCAGGCGCGAAAACUUUACAAUGCUGGCAACAGCGAUAAGGGAACCUCGAGUGCCAGGUUACAAAUCUGGCUGUCGAGAUGCCUAAAAAGCAUUUCAUAGCAAGGGCCGGGCAAGACCGGUGCCAGCCGCCGCGGUAACACCGGCGGCUCGAGUGGUAACCGUUAUUAUUGGGUCUAAAGGGUCUGUAGCCGGCCGGAUAAGUCUCUUGGGAAAUCUGGCAGCUCAACUGUCAGGCUAUCAGGAGAUACUGUCUGGCUCGAGGCCGGGAGAGGUGAGAGGUACUUCAGGGGUAGGGGUGAAAUCUUGUAAUCCUUGAAGGACCACCAGUGGCGAAGGCGUCUCACCAGAACGGACCUGACGGCAA